rnacentral:rRNA from 1 species
GUAACCGACGCUUCAUCGAGCGUGAAAUCGAGUAGGGCGGGACACGUGAUAUCCUGUCUGAAUAUGGGGGGACCAUCCUCCAAGGCUAAAUACUCCUGACUGACCGAUAGUGAACCAGUACCGUGAGGGAAAGGCGAAAAGAACCCCUGUGAGGGGAGUGAAAUAGAACCUGAAACCGUGUACGUACAAGCAGUAGGAGCACCUUCGUGGUGUGACUGCGUACCUUUUGUAUAAUGGGUCAGCGACUUAUAUUCAGUGGCAAGGUUAACCGUAUAGGGGAGCCGUAGCGAAAGCGAGUCUUAACUGGGCGCUCAGUCUCUGGAUAUAGACCCGAAACCGGGUGAUCUAGCCAUGGGCAGGUUGAAGGUUGAGUAACAUCAACUGGAGGACCGAACCGACUAAUGUUGAAAAAUUAGCGGAUGACUUGUGGCUAGGGGUGAAAGGCCAAUCAAACUCGGAGAUAGCUGGUUCUCCCCGAAAGCUAUUUAGGUAGCGCCUCGGACGAAUACUACUGGGGGUAGAGCACUGUUAAGGCUAGGGGGUCAUCCCGACUUACCAACCCUUUGCAAACUCCGAAUACCAGUAAGUACUAUCCGGGAGACACACGGCGGGUGCUAACGUCCGUCGUGGAGAGGGAAACAACCCAGACCGCCAGCUAAGGUCCCAAAGUAUUGCUAAGUGGGAAACGAUGUGGGAAGGCUCAGACAGCUAGGAUGUUGGCUUAGAAGCAGCCAUCAUUUAAAGAAAGCGUAAUAGCUCACUAGUCGAGUCGGCCUGCGCGGAAGAUGUAACGGGGCUAAGCAAUACACCGAAGCUGCGGCAAUGUCUUUUAGACAUUGGGUAGGGGAGCGUUCUGUAAGCCGUUGAAGGUGAAUCGUAAGGUUUGCUGGAGGUAUCAGAAGUGCGAAUGCUGACAUGAGUAACGACAAAGGGGGUGAAAAACCUCCUCGCCGGAAGACCAAGGGUUCCUGUCCAACGUUAAUCGGGGCAGGGUGAGUCGACCCCUAAGGUGAGGCCGAAAGGCGUAAUCGAUGGGAAACGGGUUAAUAUUCCCGUACUUCUGACUAUUGCGAUGGGGGGACGGAGAAGGCUAGGUGGGCCAGGCGACGGUUGUCCUGGUUCAAGUGCGUAGGCUUGAGAGUUAGGUAAAUCCGGCUCUCUCUAAGGCUGAGACACGACGUCGAGCUACUACGGUAGUGAAGUCAUUGAUGCCAUGCUUCCAGGAAAAGCCUCUAAGCUUCAGAUAGUCAGGAAUCGUACCCCAAACCGACACAGGUGGUCGGGUAGAGAAUACCAAGGCGCUUGAGAGAACUCGGGUGAAGGAACUAGGCAAAAUGGUACCGUAACUUCGGGAGAAGGUACGCUCUUGAUGGUGAAGUCCCUCGCGGAUGGAGCUGACGAGAGUCGCAGAUACCAGGUGGCUGCAACUGUUUAUUAAAAACACAGCACUGUGCAAAAUCGCAAGAUGACGUAUACGGUGUGACGCCUGCCCGGUGCCGGAAGGUUAAUUGAUGGGGUUAGCGCAAGCGAAGCUCUUGAUCGAAGCCCCGGUAAACGGCGGCCGUAACUAUAACGGUCCUAAGGUAGCGAAAUUCCUUGUCGGGUAAGUUCCGACCUGCACGAAUGGCGUAAUGAUGGCCACGCUGUCUCCACCCGAGACUCAGUGAAAUUGAAAUCGCUGUGAAGAUGCAGUGUACCCGCGGCUAGACGGAAAGACCCCGUGAACCUUUACUACAGCUUGGCACUGAACAUUGAACCUACAUGUGUAGGAUAGGUGGGAGGCUAUGAAGACGUGACGCCAGUUGCGUUGGAGCCGUCCUUGAAAUACCACCCUUGUAUGUUUGAUGUUCUAACUUAGACCCAUUAUCUGGGUUGAGGACAGUGCCUGGUGGGUAGUUUGACUGGGGCGGUCUCCUCCCAAAGAGUAACGGAGGAGCACGAAGGUGGGCUAAUCACGGUUGGACAUCGUGAGGUUAGUGCAAUGGCAUAAGCCCGCUUAACUGCGAGAAUGACGGUUCGAGCAGGUGCGAAAGCAGGUCAUAGUGAUCCGGUGGUUCUGUAUGGAAGGGCCAUCGCUCAACGGAUAAAAGGUACUCCGGGGAUAACAGGCUGAUACCGCCCAAGAGUUCAUAUCGACGGCGGUGUUUGGCACCUCGAUGUCGGCUCAUCACAUCCUGGGGCUGAAGUCGGUCCCAAGGGUAUGGCUGUUCGCCAUUUAAAGUGGUACGCGAGCUGGGUUUAGAACGUCGUGAGACAGUUCGGUCCCUAUCUGCCGUGGGCGUUGGAAGAUUGAAGGGGGCUGCUCCUAGUACGAGAGGACCGGAGUGGACGAACCUCUGGUGUUCGGGUUGUGUCGCCAGACGCAUUGCCCGGUAGCUAAGUUCGGAAUUGAUAAGCGCUGAAAGCAUCUAAGCGCGAAGCGAGCCCUGAGAUGAGUCUUCCCUGACAGUUUAACUGUCCUAAAGGGUUGUUCGAGACUAGAACGUUGAUAGGCAGGGUGUGUAAGCGUUGUGAGGCGUUGAGCUAACCUGUACUAAUUGCCCGUGAGGCUUAACCAU